AGUCAGUGAAGCACUUAAAGGGGCCGAGGCCGCGAGGAGCCGCCGUUUACUCCCCUCCCCACAGCUCUCCCAACUUUUCACCGAGCACUGUAGAGGUCCAGCAACAAGUGGAUGAGUGUCAGGCCAUGGAAGAUGGAUGGCCCUUCCCUCCUGUCAGAUGAGGCUGGGCUAUCACUUUUAAUAGGCCCUUAUUAAGGUGUUCACAGAACUAAGAAAAUAAAUACCACAUCUAAGGUGUGCUGUGCAGGCAGCGCUGGGCCCUCCUGGAGCCGUCUCUAAACAAACACACAGCCACUGGGAGAAGGCUUUGGGAAAAAUAACAAGUGCC